UGAGACCCCCGGGGAUUCAUGAGCU
rnacentral:misc_RNA from 1 species